UACAGAGGUGGCAAGCGUUGUUCGGAAUUACUGGGCGUAAAGGGCGCGUAGGCGGUCUUGUAAGUUCUGUGUGAAAUCCCUCGGCUCAACUGAGGAACUGCACAGAAAACUGCUUGGCUUGAGUUCGGGAGAGGGAAGCGGAAUUCCGGGUGUAGCGGUGAAAUGACGCAGAUAUCAGGAGGAACACCGGUGGCGAAGGCGGAUCUCUGGGCCGAUACUGACGCUGAGGAGCGAAAGCGUGGGGAGCGAACAGG
rnacentral:rRNA from 1 species